UUGUGUGUUGUCCCCUGCUGACAGCCUCAAAGCCGGACAUUGCUGCUGGGAGAAUUUGAGUGUAGGUUCCAGGGUAACAGAAAUUACAAAUUAAUUGAUUUGUCAAAUCCUUCCUCUCAGCUUAGAUGCAACAACGGAUUCUUGCAUAACAAAUGAGCGUUCCCAAUAGUGCCAACAAUUUGCUUUCCUGCUUUUCUUUGUGUUGCAUUUCCCGACUGUGGAUAAGAAUGAACGCAGCAUUCGCAACACUUGCACAUGAACGGCAAAGAGUAUUCCACAACAGUCUCUGCUUAUGGCCUGGGAAAGCAGUAGAAGACGGCUCAAGUCCUUGGGUCCCUGCAACCAUUUGGAAACCCAGAAGAAUCUCCUGGAUCCAGGCUUUGGAUGGGCCCAGCUCCUUCCAUCGCAGCCAUUUGGGGAGUGAACCAGUGAAUGGAAGACCUUUCUUUCUGUCUCUGUAUCUGUACGCCAAGGCAAACAUCUUUCUCUCGAUGCCAUAGUGAACCAAGCUCAGAAAACGUUCCUGGAUGCUGUAAGAUCAGAUGGGUUAACUGUG